UACGUAGGGAGCAAGCGUUGUUCGGAUUUACUGGGCGUAAAGGGCGCGUAGGCGGCAAAUCAAGUCAGCUGUGAAAUCUCCGAGCUUAACUCGGAACUGUCAACUGAUACUGUUUUGCUAGAGUGCGGAAGGGGCAAUCGGAAUUCUUGGUGUAGCGGUGAAAUGCGUAGAUAUCAAGAGGAACACCUGAGGUGAAGACGGGUUGCUGGGCCGACACUGACGCUGAGGCGCGAAAGCCAGGGGAGCAAACGGG
rnacentral:rRNA from 1 species